ACUCCAGCCUCCUUGCAAGCUUGGGGCGCCUCAUUCUCUCCCGUGCCCCUUCUCCCAGCUGGGUCUGAGCCCCCGCCCCCCUGGCUCCUCCGUUCUGCUUCUCCCAGCUUCUCUGUCCAUCUCCCCCAAUGGCCUCUCUCUACACUCUCUGCCUCAGCUUCCAGGUCUCUGCUGGUCCCUAGGAAGCACUUUGACCUCUGCUUCCCCUUCAAAUGCUGUGGAUCAAGCCUCCCCAACCCCACCAUCCCACCAAAGGGGGCUGCUGACCGAGAGAGCUCACUCAGCCAGCUGCUCCCUCUACCUGGAAACCUCCAUUUGUCAAGCUGCUGCUGUCUUCAAGAUCUACCUGGUCAGAAUCUCCUGCUGUCCUCUUCUGCCACCCACAGCAAUGUGAGCCUUCACUGGCUGGCCUUCCCUACUCACUGGAGCAGAGCUACGGCAUCAGAAUGCCCUGGAGCAGGGGUUAGAAACACAGAUUUCUGAGUCUACACUCGAAGAUUUUUUUUUCUUUCUUUCUUUUUUUUUGUUUUCCAAUUUUUCUAAUUUUAGAGAUGGGGUCUCACCACGUUGCCCAGGCUGGUCUCAAGCUCCUGGACUCAGGUCAUCCUACCACCUAGGCCUUCUAAAGUGUUAGGAUGAGCCCUGAACCUUGUAACAUGAACAUUUAUUAGUUAUAUCUGGAAAAAAAUAUAAAGUUAUUUUUAUUUGGGUGAUACUGCCUUCAAAAAACAAAAACAAAAAAAAACAGGAGGCCGAGCACAGUGGCUCAUGCCUGUAAUCCCAGUGCUUUGGGAGGCUGAGGCAGGCGGAUCACUUGAGACCAGGAGUUCAAGACCAGCCUGGCCAACAUAGUGAAACCCCGCUUCUAUUAAAAAUACAAAAAUGGGCCAGGCACGGUGGCUCAUACCUGUAAUCCCAGCACUUUGGGAGGCCGAGGCGAGUGAAUCACGAGGUCAAGAGAUCAAGACCAUCCUGGUAAACAUGGAGAAACCCUGUCUCUACUAAAAAUACAAAAAUUAGCUGGGCACGGUGUCACGUGCCUGUAGUCCCAGCUACUAGAGAAGCUGAGUCAGCGGAAUCGCUUGAACCCAGGAGGUGGAGGUUGCAGUGAGCUGAGAUUGCAC
rnacentral:lncRNA from 10 species